AGCUGAAUAUUUUAAGCUAAACAAGGAACUGGGAGAGAAGACUCGUGAAUUGAGGCACCUCAAUGGAGAAGGACUUCAAGGAUUGACCUUAAGAGAACUAAAGAAGCAAGAAGAUCUAGUUAGCGCAUGCUUGCAUCGUGUUUCAAAAGCCAAGGCUGAAGCAUUUGGGCAAGAGAUCAGUAUUCUGAAGAAACAGG